rnacentral:rRNA from 1 species
CUACUCCUACGGGAGGCAGCAGUGGGGAUUAUGGGGGAGGGGGCGAACGCGCAUCCUACCCACUCCGGAGUGGGAAGAAGGCCGUAUGGUAAAACAACCAAGGCUAGGAGGAGGCUACGUAGUGUAAUCUGUCGCUAUUAACGUACUCCAGAUCGGCCG